rnacentral:misc_RNA from 1 species
GAGUCCUCCACAGCGGAAGUAGAGGUUACAGGUUACCGACUAGUUUUCCCGCUCAAACGUCAUUUGCUGCUAGUGAUUUGCGCCGUUUAGUGGAAUCCCGCAUUUCUUUUGCUAAGCUGUUUUCAUGAUUGGACAUUGAAGAAGAUAUUGAUUCGUUAUCCAUUAGAGAAUUUUUCAUAAUCCAAUAAAAUGGCUGUUCAACCUAAUCAACAAUUUACCAUGGAUAAUGCAACUCAGCAGAGCUUUAUCAGGUUCUUCAAAAAUCUCCCAGAGAAACCAUCCACUACAAUAAGGUUCUUCAAUAGAACAGAUUACUACACAUUACAUGGAAGCGAUGCUUUGUUCGCGGCUAAAGAGAUCUUCAAAACAACUUCAGUUUGUAAAAUUCUUGGUGCUGAGCCAUACAAGACGGAAGGAUUGAUAUUGAGCAAAUCCAAUUUUGAGUCAUUUAUCCGGGAUCUGCUGUUAGUUAAACAGUACAGAGUGGAAGUAUUCGUUAAUCAAGGAUCUGCCAAAAAUCAAGAUUGGAUCCUGGAAUACAAAGGUUCACCAGGAAAUUUGGCUCAAUUUGAGGAGAUUUUAUUCAGUAACAAUGACAUUGCUGUUGGCACCUCCGUCAUUGCUAUAAAACUCGGAGGGGAGGCAAAAAAAAGGAUCGUUGGAGUGAGCUGUGUGGAUGUGGUAGAACGUUUGAUCUCUGUGUGUGAAUUUUCUGACGAUGAUUUAUUCUCAAAUUUAGAGGCGCUCGUAAUUUCCUUUGGGCCUAAGGAAUGCUUGUUAAUUCAAGGGGAAGGAAGUACGGAAUUCAAUACUUUGAAACAGAUAAUGGAGCGAAGUAAUGUCAUGGUUACACUGAGAAAGAAAAGUGAUUUCUCAACCGAUUCAAUUGUUCAAGAUAUGAAUACACUCCUCCGCUUCAAAAAGGGUCAGCAAAGAAAUGCCCAGACACUUGUCGAAAUGAACUUAAAAGUUGCUAUGGCAGGUACUGCAGCGAUUAUCAAAUAUCUUGAACUUACUUCGGACGAAGGAAACGUAAAUCAGUUCGAGGUGAAACAAUUAGAACAGUCCCGUUUCGUCAGAUUAGAUGCGGCUGCGGUGCGAGCGCUGAAUAUUGAGCCACGCGGCGACGCUCCGUCAGUGUCGAAUACCGGCGCUCCGAAUUGUAUUUUGAAUCUGCUGGAUCGAUGCCGUACACCUCAAGGUCAUCGACUGAUCGCACAAUGGGUGAGACAACCGCUACGAGAUAUCGCACUAAUUAAGGAGCGUCAUGAUAUUGUUGAAGCAUUGGUAAACGAUAACGAAUUACGAACUUCUUUAAUGGAAGAUCAUCUGAGGCGUAUACCAGAUUGUCAACAACUUGCCAAAAAGUUGGCAAAGAAUAAAGCAACAUUGCAAGACUGUUGCAGGAUCCAUUCCUGCGUAUCAGUGUUGCCAGUGCUCGCCGAACGAUUAUCGAACUCACAAUGUGGAGCAGCGAUGACUGCCAUGAUAAUAGAUCCUUUGAGAGAGCUUGCUUCCGAUAUGGAUAAGUAUCAACAAAUGGUUGAACAGACCAUCGACUUGGAUGCUGCAGAGAAAGGUGAUUACAUGGUGAAACCAGAGUUUGAUAAAGAGUUGCAAGAGCUCAAAUUGAAAAUGACAGAAAUGGAAGAAGAGAUACAGUCCCAAAUUAAUAAAGUGGCGCAAGACCUAUCGCUCGAUGCGGGAAAGACACUCAAAUUAGAAUCAAACCAACAGAUUGGAUACUACUUCAGAAUAACAUUAAAAGAAGAAAAGGCUUUGAGAAAUAAGAAGGGGUACACGACCAUAGAUUCCAACAAAGCCGGGGUCAGAUUCACCAACCAGAAACUCACAAACCUCAACGAAGAAUUUAUUAGCGUUAGAGACCAGUACUUCCAACAACAAAAGUCUGUCGUUGCAGAGAUUGUUAAAAUAGCAGCUGGAUACACGGGGCCAAUUCAUUCGAUCGGAUCUGUAUCAGCUAGACUAGACGUCCUUACCGCGUUUGCUUUAGCAUCGGCAAAUGCUCCAAAGGCUUACGUACGUCCGAAUAUUUGCCCGAGCGAAAAUGGUGAAUUAUCUUUAAUUCAAGCAAGACACCCGUGCAUGGAACUCCAGGAGGGAGUAGAUUUCAUAGCUAAUGACGUGAAUUUCAAGAGAGGUGAAUGCACGGUCAAUAUAAUAACGGGUCCGAAUAUGGGCGGAAAAAGUACGUACAUAAGAACCACGGGAGUUGUUGCUCUGUUGGCUCAUAUCGGGUGUUUUGUACCAUGCGAAAAGGCUACGAUUUCAAUACUCGACUGUAUUUUGGCCAGAGUUGGAGCCGAUGAUUCUCCAACCAAAGGACUCUCGACAUUCAUGACUGAGAUGAUUGAAACAGCAGCCAUUUUAAGGACCGCGACUUGCGACUCUCUCGUAAUAAUAGAUGAACUUGGUCGGGGAACUUCAACUUACGAGGGUUGUGGAAUAGCUUGGGCUAUAGCGGAUCAUUUAGCUAGGGAACUCAAGCCUUAUUGCCUCUUCGCUACACAUUUCCACGAAAUUACUAGACUAGCCGACGAUGUACCUACUGUGAAAAAUAUGCACGUCACAGCAAUUGUUGGGGACAAUAAACUCACCCUACUUUAUAGAGUUAAGCCAGGAGUUUGCGAUCAAAGUUUUGGAAUACACGUUGCUAAGAUGGCGAAUUUUCCACAUGAUAUUGUUAAGGUUGCUGAAAAGAAACUAAGAGAGUUGGAAAAUGAUCAGAAAGUAGAUUUUGAAGGUUCCAAAAAUCCAGAGAGCAAAAGAAAAAUAAUACAAGACGGCGAAAAGCUGAUCUCUGAAUUUUCAGCCAAAUGCAAAGCGCUGGAUUUGUCGUCACCAGAGUCUGAAAUAGCGAGCAAAAUUCAGGAGUACAAAAGCGAAGUUCUUUCUCACAACAACCCUUACAUAAACGCCUUGUUAUCAGUGUCAUAAAACCUUCGAUAUCAGACACUUGAUAUUCCACGCAAGUUGUGCAGGAGGAUGGCACGUGAAAGAAAGUCCAUGAUUGAUAAAUGACUAUGUGAAAGAACAAUCAAUUAUAAUUACCUGAACGGAUGGAUGUUGUACCGAGAGCCCCUUGACCUCAUCGACAAAUGCUUGUCCUUUAACUGU